rnacentral:rRNA from 1 species
UACGUAGGGGGCAAGCGUUGUCCGGAUUUAUUGGGCGUAAAGAGCUCGUAGGCGGCUUGUCGCGUCGUCCGUGAAAUUCCAUGGCUCAACUGUGGGCUUGCGGUCGAUACGGGCGGGCUGGGAUUCGGUAGGGGAGACUGGAAUUCCUGGUGUAGCGGUGAAAUGCGCAGAUAUCAGGAGGAACACCGGUGGCGAAGGCGGGUCUCUGGGCCGAUAUCGACGCUGAGGAGCGAAAGCGUGGGGAGCGAACAGG